GGUUUCAGGGUUGAUAUCUCCCACGUCCCUUCCCCACGUUUCCUGUAACUUCCAUAUACCCUUCCUUUUAAUAGGGAUCCCAAACCUGUGUUUUUGCCCCAUUCCCCUCCAUCGCUAUCUAUCAAAAUCCAUUACGCUUUGAAAAGUAAAAGUGAAGCAUCAUUUUGUAGCAAGACCGAUUCCAAUCAUCUCUGUCAUCGCAACAUCAAAGUUGUCGAUUUAGAGCACCGGUUCCUCGAAUCUCUCAAUUGCACUCCGAUAAUUGAAGCACCCUGUGUAAUCGCUCAUGAAAUCAAGAAGUUUUUCUCUUCAUCUUCUUCACCUUCCAUUCGGUUCACCCAGCUCCUUUGAGAUUGGAAGCUUGGUGUCGAACACGCAGUGAAGUAACAGAAGGGAAUUAUGUUCGGUUCUAGCAACCAUAGAGAUAAUGUUGUGGGCAAAAUGAUUUCAUUGUAUCUUUCCAACCAAUCGCAGUUUGAUGAUCACACAAUCCAUCUUCUUUUUAGUGCAAAUCGUUGGGAGAAAAGACCCGUUAUUUGCAGAUCAUUGAUUCUGUUGGGGUAUUUUGGGUAUACCAUGAGGUUGCUGUUAAGGUUAUCCCCAAAUCCAAGGUUGUUGAUGGAGAUGAACUUGUAUGAUAGCAAUUAGGGUUAGGGUUGAGAGAUGGAGAAGAAUUAGAAGAUGAAAGAUGAGAUCGUGGAAUGAAUAUAAGAAUUAGGAUGGUCGUAUGAUGUUGAAAAGCCCAUUAAUAAAAUAGGGUUUUAAAUAUUUAUAAUCCCAACUGGUUCUAGCGGUUCUUUAACCAGAACCGAACCGGGAACCGUUUUUACCCAAAUCUAAGAACCGGAACCGGACCCUAUAUCCAAAAAUACGGUUUGGAUCUAGCGGUUCCGGUUCGGUUCCCCGGUUCUAGCAGUUCUGAACCGUAUACUGAUCAGCCCUAACUAGGAUUAAGCUCCCCCGCGUUGCGGCGGGGGGCGUGAAACUGUGCCACCACGUACUUCGUGAAGAAUAAAUACAAAGCGUAGUUUAAUUUAGUGUUAAAAUAACCGUCUUUUACAAAAUUUGGCAUGUCUAUCUUCCAAUAAGUUAAACUAAAACACGAAUUAGUCUUUUGACACCUUUUCCAACCUACAUGACAAGAAAUUCUUGCUUGAUGUUGGAAUCAUGUGCCUAGCAAACUAUUGCAAGAAGCACUUGUUAGCUUUGCCACAUGCAGAAGCCAUCUGAUCCAUCACCCCACAUGCCUACAUGUAAAAUAAUUAUAUAACAAUCGAAAAAAGCUUCUAGUAUAGGUCUUAAGAAAAUCAUGAUGAUUGUUCAUUUUUACCUUUUGGCAGAGCAAAGCAAGCUUUCUUGAACAAAUAUUAGCUUUAAAAUCAGAAGAAUAGCGCAAGCAAUGUAUGCAGCCCAUCCGUAAAAGAAAAAACUAUUUUAGUAAAUAUUAUAAUUAUUGCAUCAUGUUAUAAUCGGACACAAAAAUCACGGACAAAGUAACAUUUGGCAUUCUUUAUGAAAUCUGAUAUGUCCAUGUCAAAUGCUGUCAAAUGCUGGCGUACCAGAGCUUAUGUUACUCAUGCCGAGAGGGACUCCAUGAUCAGCUCCAAGAACUCCACCCAGAAAAACCCCCUAAAAUGAAAAGAGCAAUACAAAAUCAACACAUAAAUCUUUGAAAAGUACCAACAAUAUUUAUUUAUAUUAAAGUAGCUUAACAAUUGCAUUAUAUAAUAAAUAAUGGUCACCUGAGAUCUAGCUCAUGCCAACUCUUGUUUCACUUGAGUAAGUUAAAUUUUGCUUGAUUCUAGAUGCUGAACGUAAGCCUGUAGAAAAAAAAAAAAAAAAAAACAAAUGCGCACAAAAUCAUGAAAUAAAUUAUCCCCAAACACAAAAAAUAUGAAACGUUAAUUGGACAAAUUAUUCUAUUUAAAUUCCUAACCUUUUGCUGCUUCUCUAUUCUGAGCAAGCCUCCUCAAUGCCUGCUUAAUAAGAUCACAGAAUAUCAUAGGCAAUUCAUUUCUUAUAUAUUACAUUAAAGUUUAUUUUUUUUCCACAUUGCGAAUAUUAGUAAUAUGAAUAGUAACCUUAGGAUCCGCACAACAUCUUAGUUUGAUUUCAAAACUCUUUGCACUCCUAUAAGAUUCUCAUAUACUUCAGGCUGUCUUAGAAAACAAAUAUAUAAAACCAUGUUAUUUUAAGAUCUUCAUAAACCAUAAAAAAUCCAUAAAAGAUAACAGGAUGAGUUCAACUCCAUAAUCCACUCGUUUUAAAUUCACUAAACCAUUGUCUGCUCUUCGGUUUGUCUUCUUUUCAUUCCAAACUUAUGGUUGAUCCUGCACUCUUUGAGUUACAUCCCCAAUAUAUCAAACUUUUGGGUUAUCUUGGAAACAAAAAUCACACACUUAGUACACAGUGAUGAUGGGUGGUAACUACAUAUUCAGAACUGUAAAGUAAACCUGCCAUAUUGAAGAGAGCAAAAAAAUACUUGACAUCCAGAGCCUUAAUCCUUCCAAUAUCAAAACUAACUCACAACAUAACACAAAAAUUAAGAAAAGUUGAAGCACACAAAUAUUAGGGCUUACCGAUUACCGGUGAAAAAUUAGCAGCGUAGGGCAUAUCGAUGGAUCUCUGAGCAUACGGUCGUCCCCCAUCUUCGCUUCCAGUACCGGAUGUUUCUUGUUUAUAGGUCCAGUAAGCUUCGCUUCCAGCAUAUCGAUCGAUCUCUGAGCGUACGGUCGUCCCCCAUCCGAUCUCUGAGUGUACGGUCGUCCCCCAUCUUCGAUCAGUAAACCCUAAUGUCAGUUUUGACUCUGAUAUAAGAGGAGGAAGGGAAGGGAUGAGUGUUUUGGUUGAUGUGGGGUGAAGGGGUGGUGUCGGAGUGGUGAUGAGGGUGAGGAUAGAGAAACUAAGAACACAAACAGCCAAUACCCAUGGUUUUCUCAAAACCAUUGUACAACAUUGGAAGCAAAAUGUAUUACCUUCAUUGCACCGUAUUGUUGUAAAUUAGAGUAUUAUAUAAUAAGUAGACAUGACUCCUAUGCGGAGAUUGACUUCUAUGGUCUAAAUAUUAUAUAUUAGACUUUAUAGUGAUGUAAUACUUAAUCUUCUAGUAUGGAAAGGUUUCGAUAAAAAUGAACAACUUAGAAUAAGAUUAUUAGUCAUAAACUAUAUUUUAUAUCAUAUUUAAAAAUGAAGAAAUAAGGAUGACAUCAAGUCGCACAUUAUAGAAGCUCACGGCACAUUUCAGGUAUGUAACAAUUAAGGUUACUUCUUCUUGCAAUGCUGAAGCACGUACAUAUACUUUGAAGUUUAGGUAACUUUUUUUUCUUUAAAAGAUUUUUUAUGUGUAGAUUUUGUAAUGGCCAAUAAAUUUUAAAAUUUAUACAGUCAAACAGUGUCACCUACACCAGGUCAGCCAGUAAGAGAACGCAUGCUUAUUCAUGUAGCAACAAGGUUUCUCGACUCAAUUGGCAAGGAUAUGCCAUUAUCAUCAAUCUAUCGCGAUGGCCCAGUUUGACCUGUUAUCCAACCCGCCAAUAUUUCACAUCUACUAUCAAGAAACUAUUUGGUUUAUGUAUUUUCCUUUGAAAUAUGUUUUGUACUCGUAAUUUGUUGAAUGCAGGCUCGCCACAUGAUAAUUCUUUAUUUGGCUAUGUUGGUACCCCUAGGAAAGUGGAAAAGGGUAUUUAUUUGACUAGGUACAUAAGGCUGUUGAUACUUGAUGCUUACGGGAUUGUAUCAAGAGACUUGCAUUAUAAUAAGGUGUCAUCUGCUUUUAUGUGUUGUAUUUUUCUGAAGAUUAUUUAAUCUUUUUGAUGAUGCUAGAUGUACACCAAAAUUCACAGAUGUCCACAAUGUAGCAAGUCAACAUGCAUCAAGUCAACAAGUCGAAAAGAGGCCACCUUUGAGGUUAAAGAGGACGAUCCAAAAGCCAAAAAAAUUGAGGGAGUAAACCAUGUUUGAGUGUUACAACACUUUCCCAUAGUGUUGUCUACCGUUUACUUUUGCAUUAAAAUGACACCAUUUCAUGUUUUAACACUCUGUCACUUUUAUUUUAUAUUGUUUUGUGGUUGUACACUA